CAUGGCUCCCUGAAUGUAAUAUAUAGGGAGUCGGACCUGCCCAGUGAAGGAUUUUAAACGGCCGCGGUACUCUGACCGUGCAAAGGUAGCAUAAUCAUUUGCCCUAUAAUUGAGGGCUAGUAUGAAUGGUUUGACAAGAAUAAAGCUGUCUCCGUGUAAUUACAUAGAAUUUUAUUUUUAGGUGAAGAAGCCUAAAUUAUAUUAAAAGACAAGAAGACCCUAUCGAGCUUUAAAGAAAUUAAUGAGAUAAUGUCAAAUAUUAAUUAAAAUAAAUUUUAUUAAAAAUUUUGGUUGGGGCGACAAAGGAACAAAUAAAGCUUCUUUUAAAAUAAAAAACUUACAAGUAGUGAUCCAGAAAAUUCUGAUUAAAGAAAUUAGUUACCGUAGGGAUAACAGCAUUAUCUUUUUUGAGAGCUCAUAUCGAAAAAAAGGUUUGUGACCUCGAUGUUGGACCAGGAUAUCCAGAAGAUGCAGAAGUCUUCAAAGGUUGGUCUGUUCGACCAUUAAAAUCCUACGUGAUCUGAGUUCAGACCGGCGUGAGCCAGGUCAGUUUCUAUCUUUUAUUAAUAAAAUAAGUUUAGUACGAAAGGACCAACUUAUAAUAUUAUAAAUAAUAUUGACUUAUUGAUUAAAUAUAAUAUAAAAAUAAAUAAAAUUAAC
rnacentral:rRNA from 1 species